AGAGUUUGAUUCGUGGCUCAGAUUGAACGCUGGCGGCAGGCUUAACACAUGCAAGUCGAGCGGUAACAGGGGGUGCUUGCACCCCGCUGACGAGCGGCGGACGGGUGAGUAAUGCAUAGGAAACUGCCCAGUAGUGGGGGAUAGCCCGGGGAAACCCGGAUUAAUACCGCGUACGCCCUUCGGGGGAAAGCAGGGGAUCUUCGGACCUUGCGCUAUUGGAUGUGCCUAUGUCGGAUUAGCUAGUUGGUGGGGUAAAGGCCUACCAAGGCGACGAUCCGUAGCUGGUCUGAGAGGAUGAUCAGCCACAUCGGGACUGAGACACGGCCCGAACUCCUACGGGAGGCAGCAGUGGGGAAUAUUGGACAAUGGGGGCAACCCUGAUCCAGCCAUGCCGCGUGUGUGAAGAAGGCUUUCGGGUUGUAAAGCACUUUCAGUGAGGAGGAAAAGUUGGUCGUUAAUACCGGCCAGCCUUGACGUUACUCACAGAAGAAGCACCGGCUAACUCCGUGCCAGCCGCCGCGGUAAUAC
rnacentral:rRNA from 1 species